rnacentral:rRNA from 1 species
GACGAACGCUGGCGGCGUGCCUAAUACAUGCGAGUCGAACGAACCGCGACUAAGUGCUUGCACUAAGUCAAGGUGAGUGGCGAACGGGUGAGUAACACGUGGGUAACCUACCUCAUAGUGGGGGAUAACAGUCGGAAACGACUGCUAAUACCGCAUAGGACAUAGGAUCACAUGAUCCAGUGAGGAAAGGUGGCGCAAGCUAUCGCUAAGAGAUGGACCCGCGGUGCAUUAGCUAGUUGGUAGGGUAAAGGCCUACCAAGGCGAUGAUGCAUAGCCGACCUGAGAGGGUGAUCGGCCACAUUGGGACUGAGACACGGCCCAAACUCCUACGGGAGGCAGCAGUAGGGAAUCUUCCGCAAUGGACGCAAGUCUGACGGAGCAACGCCGCGUGAGUGAAGAAGGUCUUCGGAUCGUAAAGCUCUGUUGUUAGAGAAGAACAGCGCAUAGAGUAACUGCUAUGCGUGUGACGGUAUCUAACCAGAAAGCCACGGCUAACUACGUG